CCAUAACAUUUUAGCAAUGAUCUGAUGUGGACAAAAUACCAUCAUAUUUCUUAUCAACAACGGAGGCUAUAUAAACAAUCGAAAUAGAGCUUCAUGAUGGCCAUUUUCAGCAGGACGCAUCAGCUGCUAUUAGAGGAGGUCGUAUCCCUUCACCUGAAAGCAAGCCAUCUUUCGAAGAGGUUAAGGAGGUCCUAGG